rnacentral:lncRNA from 1 species
UUGCCGGCAUGGCACUAACUCCUGCCGACUGGCAAACGAUUAUAAAAGCCGCUCUCCCUAGUAUGGGCAAAUAUAUGGAAUGGAGAGCUCUAUGGCAAGAGGCUGCACAAGCGCAGGCCCGAGCAAACGCAGCUGCUUUGACUCCAGAGCAGAGAGAUUGGACUUUUGACUUGUUAACGGGUCAGGGAGAUUAUUCUGCUGAUCAAACAAACUACCAUUGGGGAGCUUAUGCCCAAAUUUCCUCCACGGCUAUUAGGGCCUAAAAGGCGCUCUCCCGAGCAGGUGAAGCCACUGGACAACUAACAAAGAUCGUCCAGGGACCUCAGGAGUCCUUCUCAGAUUUUGUGGCCAGAGAGACAGAGGCAGGCUCUUGCAGCCUACAAGGUCUUAUUGUCCACCCUGGAGUUGUAGAUCAGGAUUAUAAAGGGGAACUUCAGGUUCUCUGUUCUUGUCCUCAAGUUGUCUUUUCUAUAUCACAAGGGGACAGAAUAGCUCAACUAAUAAUUUUGCCAAGCCUACAUGGCUGUUUUUUCUUCCUCUGGUAUUCCUAGAGCUGCCAGAGGGAUCGGUUCUACUGGAAAUGAUUCUGAUUACUUAAUAAUGCCUUUAGAUUGUUGUCAAAUUUUAUCUACUCCUCAUGUAGGGGUAAACCCUCGUGGCAUCAGGCCAUUACAGGUCUGACAAAUGGAUGUCACGCAUAUUUCCUCCUUUGGGAGAAAUCAAUGUUUACAUGUGUCCAUUGACACAUGCUCUGGCAUCAUGUUUGCUUCUCCAUUAACCGGAGAAAAAGCCUCACAUGUGAUUCAACAUUGUCUUGAGGCAUGGAGUGCUUGGGGGAAACCCAAACUCCUUAAGACUGAUAAUGGACCAGCUUAUACAUCUCAAAAAUUCCAGCAGUUCUGCCGUCAGAUGGACGUGACCCACCUGACUGGACUUCCAUACAACCCUCAAGGACAGGGUAUUGUUGAGCGUGCGCAUCGCACCCUCAAAGCCUAUCUAAUAAAACAGAAGAGGGGAGUCGAGACUCUACCCCGAGUACCAAGAGUGUCUGUGUCUAUGGCACUCUUUACACUCAAUUUUUUAAAUAUUGAUGCUCAUGGCCAUACUGUGGCUGAACGUCAUUGUUCAGAGCCAGAUAGGCCCAAUGAGAUGGUUAAAUGGAAAAAUGUCCUUGAUAAUAAAUGGUAUGGCCUGGAUCCUGUUUUGAUAAGAUCCAGGGGAGCUAUUUGUGUUUUUCCACAGAAUGAAGACAACCCAUUUUGGAUACCAGAAAGACUCACCCGAAAAAUCCAGACUGACCAAGGGAAUACUGAUGUCCCUCAUCUUGGUGAUGUCCAGGGCGUCAAUAAUAAAGAGAGAGCAGCGUUGGGGGAUAAUGUCGACAUUUCCACUCCCAAUGCCGGUGAUGUAUAAUGCUCAAGUAUUCCCCUGCUUUUUUACCACUAACUAGGAACUGGGUUUGGCCUUGAUUCAGACAGCCUUGGCUCUGUCUGGACAGGUCCAGACGACUGACACCAUUAACACUUUGUCAGCCUCAGUGACUACAGUCAUAGAUAAACAGGCCUCAGCUAAUGUCAAGAUACAGGGUGGUCUCAUGCUGGUUAAUCAAUGCAUAGAUCUUGUCCAGAAACAACUAGAUGUAUUAUGGCAAAUAGCUCAGCUGGGAUGUGAACAAAAGUUUCCGGGAUUGUCCGUUACUUCCAUUCAGUAUGAGAAAUUUACUAGGGCAGCUAAUUUGUCAAAAAGUCUUUCUCAGUAUAUGUUACAGAAUUGAACAGCUGAAUUUGAACAGACCCUUCGGGAAUUGAGACUUCAGGUCAACUCCACGCGCUUGGACCUGUCCCUGAUCAAAGGAUUACCCAAUUGGAUCUCCUCAGCAUUUUCCUUCUUUAAAGAAUGGGUGGGAUUGAUAUUAUUUGGAGAUACACUUUGCUGUGGAUUAGUGUUGCUUCUCUGGUUGGUCUGUAAGCUUAAGGCCCAAACUAGGAGAGACAAGGUGGUUAUUGCCCAGGCACUUGCAGUACUAGAACAUGGUGCUUCCCCUGAUAUAUGGUUAUCUAUGCUUAAGCAAUAGGUCGCUGGCCAUUCAGCUCUUGCACCCCACGAGGCUAGUCUCAUUGCACGGGAUAGAGUGAGUGCGCUUCAGCAGCCCGAGAGAGUUGCACGGCUAAGCACUGCAGUAGAAGGGCUCUGCGGCACAUAUGAGCCUAUUCUAGGGAGACAUGUCAUCUUUCAAGAAGGUUGAGUGUCCAAGUGUCCUUCUCCCCAGGUAAAACGACACGGGACCAGACCAGGACCCCUCUGGGUGAUAAGCCUGGAAGGAGGUUAUGUGUACGGCUCCUUUACCUGCACACUGGGGAUUUGACCUCUAUCUCCACUCUCAUUAAUAUGGGUGGCCUAUUGCUCUUAUUAAUAGAAAAGGGGGAACUGUGGGAAGCCGCCCCCACAUUCGCCGUUACAAGAUGGCGCUGACAGCUGUGUUCUAAGUGGUAAACAAAUAAUCUGCGCAUGUGCCAAGGGUAGUUUUCCACUACAUGUGCUCUGCCUUCCCCGUGACGACAACUCGGCCAUGGGCUGCAGCCAAUCAGGGAGUGAUACGUCCUAGGCGAAGGAUAACUCUCCUUAAGAGGGACGGGGUUUCGCUUUCGCUUUGGGCUUGGGGGGCUUGCACUCUUGCUCCUGAAGAUGUAAGCAAUAAAGUUUUGCCGCAG